UACGUAGGGGGCAAGCGUUGUCCGGAUUUAUUGGGCGUAAAGAGCGUGUAGGCGGCUUGACAGGUCUGCUGUGAAAACUCGAGGCUCAACCUCGAGAUGUCGGCGGAAACCGUCUGGCUAGAGUCCGGAAGAGGAGAGUGGAAUUCCUGGUGUAGCGGUGAAAUGCGCAGAUAUCAGGAGGAACACCGGUGGCGAAGGCGGGUCUCUGGGCCGUAACUGACGCUGAGGAGCGAAAGCAUGGGGAGCGAACAGG
rnacentral:rRNA from 1 species